ACAAAAAUAUGAAUGCUUCGAUUGGAUUGAAGCAAGUAUCCAGAUACUUAUGAAUGGUAGUGUGUAUCUUGUAUCUUGUGUGCAUCGUGUAGAAUACAUCUUGGUAUAUCGCGCUUAAGUAUCUGAAUACUUGGUGCGAUCCUGUCGAAUCCAUAAGAAAGUAACAAGAAAUAAAGUACAGAAAGAAAUAAAGAAUUAAACGACAAAGAAAGAUUCUUCUACAAUAUAAUAUCGGGUAUGUGAUAAAAAUAUCAGUGUUUCGAUUAGAGUGCACUAAGUAAAUAUAAAUAUUUAUGCACGAUUAGUAUACAUCCUGAUGAUACGAUAAAAGCGUGGGAAGCGUUGCCUUUAUCAGUUCGUCGUUCAUUUGUACAGUCUAGUCAAAUUCACAAACUGUUGUUACAAUUCGAUAAAGAUACUUAUGAGCGGUAGUGUAGACUGGAGGAAAACAAGAGAAAAACCACAAGAGAGAAAAGUAGUAGGAGUACUCGAAUGUCGACGAGCAUUGCGAAAAAACAACCGGUGGAAAGCAGGAUUUUUGCCGCGUUCCCUUGCGAAAUCCAUGUCUCAACGUCGUCGUUAUCGUUCGUACCCUGUCCCUUGACCUGCCAUAAACCAUCUUCCAUCCAUUCGUCGUCCGCAUUCCCUCGUUGUUUCUUAAGUCUCAACUAUCCAUAUUCGUAUCCAUAUUGGGUGCUACGUGCGUAAUUUCCUAGGCGCCUGUUGCAAGUUUCAGCACCUAUGAAGCCAGUUUCCAUAGAUUUCAGAAAUUAUUCGCAGUCCAACGUUGGCGGACUAACUUACUGCAACGAGUAACUUGGAUGACAAGUGCAAUUAGGCUCCUGGAGUUUCACGAGCAGCCACCAGCACCGCUAUGAAUAACUUGUCAAUUAAUCGUGAUUAUCGACAAGUAAUGGCGAGAGCGGAGAACAAGAGCCUCAUAAGGACAAGUUUCACAAGCUGACGUUUACGUCACGCUAUACCGAUCCUUCUACGAAGAUGGACGUAAACUCGCUUGUUAAUUGACCGCGAAAGCAUUAAAACGUGAUUUCAGGUCAAUUUCGUGCGCGUAUACUGUAUACGCACGGACGAACGUUACGUGAAACGAAAAGUCCUCGGGAGCUUCCAAACUCCUUCAGAAAUUUUCAGAAUUUUUCCAACGAUUUCCAGAUGCCUCGGUAGCUUUCAGGAUCCUUCACAGGCUAUCAGAGGCCUUCGAAAAUUUGACGAUCCUUCCGAAACCUUCGCAGAAACUUGUACUAUCUUUUCUGAGUCUCGAAACCUAGGGAUCUUCCUUGGUGAUUUUCUAGGUAUCUUCGUAGGUACCUUCAGAGGGAAUUCC